UAAAUAGGUGGAGAAGAAGAGAGGUGUAGAGAGGGAUCGAGGCAUUAUGGAGUCAUUGUUAGUUCUCCUACAAGUUGCUGUCUGAGCUGUUGGUUCUCCUGGAGAAGCUUUGGUCUUCACAUCGAGCAUUGCUUCCUGGCUCUGGAGGGGAAGACAUGUGCUGCCUGGUCUCCAGGGUGAACUCCUUACGCUGCUUCCUGGCACGUUCCCGACUGUGCUUGUCGUUGGAGGAGCUCGGGGCCUCCAUGUCGCUGAGGACAGCUGCAGUUCCUUUCAGGACAGCCCCACUCUUUGUUCAAGGGUAGUUUUUGAGAAAGAUGGAUGCAUAAUAACCCCAAUGACUGAGCAUUUUGCCGUUUACAUGGAAAGCACAACUGGACCUUGAGGAUAUAUAAUGAUGCUGAGCCUGGUAGAAAACUGGAGGACUCAUAAAGAGAAGUGAAUCAGAAGCAACUGAGAUGGCUCCUACACAGGCAGCAAGCCAGGAACAUGAUUGGACUGCUCCCUCAGGACGACAGUUUUUGCUCUACCACUGCGGGAAUGUGUGAUAGUGCUUAUGGUGCAUGUCUGUGUCACUGGGCCAGGACAACAUGAGCAGAGACACGCAUCAUGUGAUUGUCCCUUGGUUUCAGCAGCCUGAGUUGUGUGUCAUUUAUUUCUCCCAUUCCCUAUGUUAAUUAGUGACACAGUUCAUCCAUUGUGUCCAUUCCCUGGAUGGGCCUGAAGUCACCGGCACACCCUGAAAUUUUCCCCAUAUUUUCACUCUAACACACAGACAAAGAAGGAGGUGUCAUACAACUGUAUAAAGUAAGGUUCAGUUUUAUUUAUAGAAAAAGGACAGGGAGAGAAAAAAGCCACUUUGAGAAGUAGGGUGUGAGAAUAUGGGUGACUGCAAAGAAAGCCGGGAAGGAGUCUUGCAGUUAUGUGACGAAGUUCAUGGUUCCUCCUUGUGAAGGUAGUUACAUCCCACAGGUUUGUCUUCCUCUUUGCUGAGGGAGACUUGAGAAUGCAUGACCCAGUACUCCUAAAUUCUCAAGAUCCCACCUGCAUUUUCUGACAUUAAGUGGGUUCCCAUCUGUCCCUAGAGAGCCACAAUUCAGUGCUUCCUUAUAAAAGAGUGAAAUUUCUCCUGACAGCCCUAUAAAAUUGUGAUUCACUAUUAGCAAAUGUGGCUAGUUUUUAAGAUGCCAAAUGGAUAGGUCAGAUCUUAGGACGGUCUCAGACACUUGCAUGGGGUCCCAGGAAAGUACACUGUGUGGAAACCAGAGAGUGAAAGGCGUCAGCCACUAAAUGAGUGUAUGACAUCACCACGGACUUCCACGGAGAGGUCUCCAGGAUGUCAGAAACAUGAUAGUUGAUGAAAUACUGUCUCAGCUUUCAACUGAUGUGCACUGUGGACAUCAGCCAAGAUGAGGAUUUCCACGAUAUUCUAAAAGGUGAGAUUGCUGCAGAGGUGGUUCUCACACCUGAGCUUCAGGCACUCCAGACCAAACCUGACUGCAGCAUCCAGAAGUUCAGAUGCCAUCAUCCCUAGUUUUGGUGCCUUUCUAAUGUAAACAAAGUAUAUCAUUUCCUUAAAACUUCAGGUUCCAUGUCACUGAUUUCAGCAUGAUUCUUUUUGCACACUUGCAUUUCAUGUUCAAACAAAGCCAUGAAAACUGAAGAGCAGGCUGCUAAGAUGGCUUUGUGAGCCUGGAAUUCCUGUCCAGCCACACACAAGCAACAGUCUGUGAAGUGGGAAUGCUUCCAUAGCCCUCCUAGAUCUUCUCCCAAGCAGCCCUCAGGAACCUUCACAUUUUUCAGAUUCUGGCUGGAAUUAUUGGUGGGAUCUUGUGCUACUUUCACUUCACAGAAGAAGGAAAGGAUGUCACUGGGGAGAAAUCCAUUGUUUGCAUCCAAAAUAAACUCUUUAAGAUGAAUUUUCUGUAUCCCCAGUCUUUUUCUUGCACAAAUUUAUAAGCUUGUUGACUUGAGAUCUCUUUUGUUUUCUCUCCUUUGGCAUUCAGAAUGUAAAAGAUGAAUUUUGCAUGAAAUUCCCUCUUUGAACAUCUGAGCAAUAUCAGGUAUAGUGACAGGUAAUCUUUGCUUUCUUCAUCAAUCCCUUGUGGGUAUACUCAUAAGCAACAUUUUAGUUUAUCAUUUGCUUCAGAUGAAAAGGUUGGAGUUUGAAUGUAUUUGUCCAUUUCCUUUAGGCAAAACUAAAGGAAUUUAGUUUUGCCAUAUGUAGAACAAUUUCAUUAUUUUAAAUUUUGUGGUGCAGUGCCAGUCAGGUUCUGGUGCAUUCAACAUUUUCCUGUGGCUGGAGCAUUUGGAACACUUGACAUCACCAGUCAGGG